GACGAACGCUGGCGGCGUGCUUAACACAUGCAAGUCGAACGGAAAGGCCCUGCUUUUGUGGGGUGCUCGAGUGGCGAACGGGUGAGUAACACGUGAGUAACCUGCCCUUGACUUUGGGAUAACUUCAGGAAACUGGGGCUAAUACCGGAUAGGAGCUCCUGCUUCAUGGUGGGGGUUGGAAAGUUUCGGCGGUUGGGGAUGGACUCGCGGCUUAUCAGCUUGUUGGUGGGGUAGUGGCUUACCAAGGCUUUGACGGGUAGCCGGCCUGAGAGGGUGACCGGCCACAUUGGGACUGAGAUACGGCCCAGACGCCUACGGGAGGCAGCAGUGGGGAAUAUUGCACAAUGGGCGGAAGCCUGAUGCAGCAACGCCGCGUGCGGGAUGACGGCCUUCGGGUUGUAAACCGCUUUCGCCUGUGACGAAGCGUGAGUGACGGUAAUGGGUAAAGAAGCACCGGCUAACUACGUG
rnacentral:rRNA from 1 species